GUAUAUAAGGGUGACAUGGAUUUGACAUCUGUCACCCCACUGAUCACCAAGGUUGAUCUGGCUGGUUAGGCAGAUUGCCCUUUCCUCCCUCAGAGCUCCAUGUGCAUCCCUCCUGAAGUUGUAUACUCAACUGAAGAGGAUGACCACACCUGUUAGCAGAGGACCAUUCCUAGGUCAAGGGUCUAUAAUGAGCUGAGCUCCCCUAGAACCUCCAAACAAGAUCUCUUCUAUGAGUAGAUAGUAGCUAAUCUGCUCCUAUGAUGUAAUGUUAUUCAUCUCCAU
rnacentral:snRNA from 1 species